rnacentral:rRNA from 1 species
UACGUAGGGUGCGAGCGUUGUUCGGAUUUACUGGGCGUAAAGGGCGCGUAGGCGGCCAGCACAAGUCAGUUGUGAAAUCUCCGAGCUUAACUCGGAACGGUCAACUGAUACUGUGCGGCUAGAGUGCAGAAGGGGCAACUGGAAUUCUUGGUGUAGCGGUGAAAUGCGUAGAUAUCAGGAGGAACACCUGCGGCGAAGGCGGGUUGCUGGGCUGACACUGACGCUGAGGCGCGAAAGCUAGGGGAGCGAACGGG